GGGGUCCAGAUCUGGCUCAGGAUGAACGCUGGCGGCGUGCCUAAUACAUGCAAGUCGAGCGAAUGGAUUAAGAGCUUGCUCUUAUGAAGUUAGCGGCGGACGGGUGAGUAACACGUGGGUAACCUGCCCAUAAGACUGGGAUAACUCCGGGAAACCGGGGCUAAUACCGGAUAACAUUUUUCACCGCAUGGUGCGAAAUUCAAAGGCGGCUUCGGCUGUCACUUAUGGAUGGACCCGCGUCGCAUUAGCUAGUUGGUGAGGUAACGGCUCACCAAGGCAACGAUGCGUAGCCGACCUGAGAGGGUGAUCGGCCACACUGGGACUGAGACACGGCCCAGACUCCUACGGGAGGCAGCAGUAGGGAAUCUUCCGCAAUGGACGAAAGUCUGACGGAGCAACGCCGCGUGAGUGAUGAAGGCUUUCGGGUCGUAGAACUCUGUUGUUAGGGAAGAACAAGUGCUAGUUGAAUAAGCUGGCACCUUGACGGUACCUAACCAGAAAGCCACGGCUAACUACGUGCCAGCAGCCGCGGUAAUACGUAGGUGGCAAGCGUUAUCCGGAGUUAUUGGGCGUAAAGCGCGCGCAGGUGGUUUCUUAAGUCUGAUGUGAAAGCCCACGGCUCAACCGUGGAGGGUCAUUGGAAACUGGGAGACUUGAGUGCAGAAGAGGAAAGUGGGAUUCCAUGUGUAGCGGUGAAAUGCGUAGAGAUAUGGAGGAACACCAGUGGCGAAGCGACUUUCUGGUCUGUAACUGACACUGAGGCGCGAAAGCGUGGGGAGCAAACAGGAUUAGAUACCCUGAUAGUCCACGCCGUAAACGAUGAGUGCUAAGUGUUAGAGGGUUUCCGCCCUUUAGUGCUGAAGUUAACGCAUUAAGCACUUCGCCUGGGGAGUACGGCGCAAGGCUGAAACUCAAAGGAAUUGACGGGGCCCGCACAGCGGUGGAGCAUGUGGUUUAAUUCGAAGCAACGCGAAGACUUACAGGUCUUGACAUCCUCUGACAACCCUAGAGAUAGGCUUCCCCUUCGGGGCAGAGUGACAGGUGGUGUAUGUUGUCCUCAGCUCUGUCCUGAGAAUGUGUGGGUAAAGUCCCG
rnacentral:rRNA from 1 species